rnacentral:rRNA from 1 species
UACGAGGGAUCCUAGCGUUGUUCGGAAUCAUUGGGCGUAAAGGGUGUGUAGGCGGCCUUGUAAGUCAGUUGUGAAAGCCCCGGGCUCAACCCGGGAAGUGCUUCUGAUACUGCUUGGCUUGAGUAUUGGAUAGGUGAGUGGAAUUCCAGGUGUAGUGGUGAAAUACGUAGAUAUCUGGAGGAACACCGGCGGCGAAGGCGGCUCACUGGCCAUAUACUGACGCUGAAACACGAAAGCGUGGGUAGCAAACAGG